AGCCCUAAGGAGUAAUUUAGGGUGAAGCCUGCCCAAUGAUAUAAUAUUAAAUGGCCGCGGUACUCUGACCGUGCUAAGGUAGCAUAAUCAAUUGGCUUUUAAAUGGAGUCUGGAAUGAAAGGCCUAAAUAAGAAAAAAGACGAGAAGACCCUUAGAGUUUAAAAUUUUGUUGGGGCGACAUAGAGUCAAAAUAAACACUCUGAGUAGUAUAAGACGGAGUUAUCAUGAAUAGAUAAACUACCUGAGGGAUAACAGCAUAAUCUUUAUAAGGUUUGUGACCUCGAUGUUGGACUAGGAAGUCUGCUAGCUAGCCGCUAGCAAGAGAAAUUCUGUUCGAAUUAAUACUCCU
rnacentral:rRNA from 1 species